rnacentral:rRNA from 1 species
GAUGAACGCUGGCGGCGUGCCUAAUACAUGCAAGUAGAACGCUGAAGGAAGGAGCUUGCUCUUUCCGGAUGAGUUGCGAACGGGUGAGUAACGCGUAGGUAACCUGCCUGGUAGCGGGGGAUAACUAUUGGAAACGAUAGCUAAUACCGCAUAACAGUAGAUGUUGCAUGAUAUCUACUUAAAAGGUGCAAUUGCACCACUACCAGAUGGACCUGCGUUGUAUUAGCUAGUUGGUGAGGUAACGGCUCACCAAGGCGACGAUACAUAGCCGACCUGAGAGGGUGCUCGGCCACACUGGGACUGAGACACGGCCCAUACUCCUACGGGAGGCAGCAGUAGGGAAUCUUCGGCAAUGGACGGAAGUCUGACCGAGCAACGCCGCGUGAGUGAAGAAGGUUUUCGGAUCGUAAAGCUCUGUUGUAAGAGAAGAACGAGUGUGAGAGUGGAAAGUUCACACUGUGACGGUAUCUUACCAGAAAGGGACGGCUAACUACGUG